ensembl:lncRNA
CUUCUUCCAUCUUUUUCUGUCAUGAGAAUGCCCAUCAGCCAGUCUGCAGGCCAAAGGAACUCUUCUCCAGACUUGUCAUCUCCCUUGUGCUUCCAGAUGCCAAAGGAGUGCUUGGUCAUUGAAAUAUAGGAAGGAUAAAGCAGAAGGAAAAAAAUGAAAAGUCCAUAAGGGCUAAGUACAAACUUGAUAGAUUAGUCUUCUUGAACUUCACUCUAGAUCUGUUAGUGAUUAACUAUUUUAUUCAGCUCUGAGGCCUCCAAUGUAGGAAGAAUACGGAUAUGAGUGAGAAGUCUACUUACUCCAGCCUUUUCCAGUUCUUCUAUGCAUAGUUCCAUGUCAGAUGCUGUUUUUGUCAGACUCCUCCUCUGCUGCCAUCUGCCACACAGCAACAAAGUGUAAUGAAGUGUUGGUGGGAAGGUUCAGCCUCUACUGCCAUACCACAUCAGCAUCUGCCUCUGACAUCAUGGGCCAACAUAAUAAAACAGGAAGGAUUACUUUCAGAGCAGCCUUCAUAUAUGUUUCUGUUAAAUAAGUAACUGAACAAUGACUGCUCUGAAUAUUUAACUGUGUACGUUUCCAAAUCAAUUUCAGUAUCUUCAGUGUGGUUCUGUAAGCAAGUAUUUCUCUUGUCAUUUGGACACUAAUUUCUACUACAACAGCUUUGUUUAUGUGAUUUGCUUGUUACAAAAUAACUCAUGUUUUUCACCCAGUCAGAAUACCACUAGCAUUCACCAGACAAGGAAUAGGAAACCAAAUUUUCAGUCUCAUAUCAUUCAUUUUGAUUGUUUGCAUGGAGAACAAUGACCUUGGGAUACAAGCUUUCGUCAAAGGAACAUCAUAUAAUUCAGAACUCAGACAUGAUCCACUUAUUUCCCUGCAGUACCUUUCAAAAAGACAUGCUUAACUUUAAGUGCCUAUGCCCUUUAGCAAGCCUUGGGCAGGAGCAUACCACAAAGGUUCUAUAGGAAACAAAACAAAGAAACUUGAAUACUGAACUACAUAAACAUGUUUUCUUUAUUAACAUACUCAAUUGGGAGAGCAGCAUUUAUGCUUUUUCUGUCCUAGUGAAACUGAGAGUAAAAUAUUGCCCUGAUCACAUUGCAUCAGUAAUCUGUAACACCUGUGCAGAUUUCUUAGGCCAUCAUGUUUUGCCAAUUUACAUAAAAGCGUACUUUCCAAGAUAGUGAAUUAGCUCACACAUAGAUGAAGUUGAUUCUUUGCUGUUACUCUGCAUCCAUAUACAGGCUUAUUCCUGGUCCCAUUUAAGUGCAAAGGAAUAACUAAUACUUUAUUUGCUCUUUAUCUGCCACAAACCCCAUGAGGCAUCUGUUCUGUGAAGAGGAUUUUUGAAGGAACUCCUGGAGCUGGAGAAGUGGGACUAUGCAGUGCAGGAGUGCAGCUCUGAAAUGAUUCUCUUUAUUUCAUUGAAGGAGAGGACACGGCUUACUUCAGGGUUUAAUUCUAUUCUCAUUUAUACUUGUGUAUAUCCAAGUAAAUAAGUAAAAACAGAAUUCAAAUAGAAAUAUAUUUUAUGGGAUUCUUUUUAAAAUUAUUGUAUGUAUCACUGAAGACCAUAUGUUGAUAUCCUCAUUCUGAGUACACUGUUAGAACAAGCUCAGAAACUUUUUACUAUUGUAAUAACAUAAAAAAAUACAAAACACAGUAGAAACUAAAUAAAUCCUCUUUUAUCUUC